ensembl:snRNA U5 U5 spliceosomal RNA
CAACUUUGACUUCUCUUCAGCGCAUGAUUCUUUCGCCCUUUACUAAAAAAUUUCGUGGAGGGUUGUAAUUCAAUGAGUCUUUGACCACUUUUCCACACCUGACUCUUGUCAGGA